AAAUUGAAGAGUUUGAUCAUGGCUCAGAUUGAACGCUGGCGGCAGGCCUAACACAUGCAAGUCGAACGGUAACAGGAAGCAGCUUGCUGUUUCGCUGACGAGUGGCGGACGGGUGAGUAAUGUCUGGGAAACUGCCUGAUGGAGGGGGAUAACUACUGGAAACGGUAGCUAAUACCGCAUAACGUCGCAAGACCAAAGAGGGGGACCUUCGGGCCU
rnacentral:rRNA from 1 species